rnacentral:lncRNA from 1 species
GCCAGCGCGGUUACCAUGGCAACGGCGUGGCCAGCUGUGUUUCUCCGACUGCGGCCACGGAUUCUGCUCGGGACCCCCCAACUUCACCUGCGUUUGUCACCUGGGCUGGACCAACCCCAAACCCCAAAAUUCCUCCUCGGGGGGGUCCCAGGAGCCCCCCCAGUGCUCGGUGGAUUGCGGCUGCAACUUCCACAGCUCCUGCGAGCGCGGCGGCCCCGGGUUCUGCGACCGCUGCCAGAACUGGACGGAGGGCCCGCAGUGCCAGCGCUGCCGCCCCGGCAGAGGCUCCCAAACCCCAUUUUAACCCAUUUUAACCCAUUUUAAUCCCA